GCCAGCAGCCAUAUCACCCUGCAACUCACAACUGGCAGCCCACUGAAGCUCAGCAGGUGUGAGCCUGGUCAGUACCUGGAUGGAAAGACCUCCUGGGAAAAAUCAAGGUUGCUGCUGGAA
rnacentral:rRNA from 1 species